UUGCAUUUGGACUGCAUGAUAUGGUGAUAGCAUCAAGGCCUCUCCCAUGCUCAUUGUAGGAUUUGCAUACUAUGUGAUAAGCCUUGUUAUUGGCUAAUGCAAAGAGAUAAAAAAGCUGCAAUCAUUCGUUAGGGGCAAUUACUACAUCAAAUUGGCAAUGGUGGAAAAUAGUUUGGGCUGCAUCAGAAGAUUUGAUUUUGUGUUUUUGGAAAUAUUUUGACAUAGGAUUUUGGUAAAUGAUUUAUGGAUUAAAUGUUUAGCAUCAAAAUAUUUGGUGUUGUGUUUUUGCAAAUAUUUUGACAUAUGAUUUUAGUAAAUGACUUGUUGGUUAGAUGUUUAACAUCAAAAUAUUUGGUUGUAAUUUUGAAAAUAUUUUGACAUAAGAUUUGGUAAUGUAUUUAUGGGUUUGAUGUUAGUAGUUUGUAAGUACUUUGGUAUGCAUGUUUUAAAUUGUUAGAGAAUUGUAAUUAUGUUUA